ACAGUGGACGCGAGCAUCUUUGUUGUAAGUAAUUAAGAGCGUACGGUGGAUGCCUUGGCACCAGGAGCCGAUGAAGGACGUAGGAGGCUGCGAUAAGCCUCGGGGAGCUGUCAACCGAGCUGAGAUCCGAGGAUGUCCGAAUGGGGAAACCCAGCCACAGUGAUGUGUGGUUACCCGCGCCUGAAUAUAUAGGGCGUGUGGAGGGAACGUGGGGAAGUGAAACAUCUCAGUACCCACAGGAAGAGAAAACAACAUGUGAUUCCGUGAGUAGUGGCGAGCGAAAGCGGAAGAGGCUAAACCAUGGGUGUGUGAUAGCCGGCGGGCGUUGCAUUCGUGGGGUUGUGGGAUCCGUCUUGUCAAUUCUGCCGGAUUGGCCGACAGUGAGAAAUCAUCGUGUUAGUCGAAGUGGUCUGGAACGGCCUGUCGUAGAGGGUGAGAGUCCCGUAGACGAAAACAUGGUGACUGUCGUGACGGACACCCGAGUAGCAGCGGGCCCGUGAAAUCUGCUGUGAAUCUGUCGGGACCACCCGAUAAGCCUGAAUACUCCCUGGUGACCGAUAGCGGACUAGUACCGUGAGGGAAAGGUGAAAAGUACCCCGGGAGGGGAGUGAAAUAGUACCUGAAACCGUGCGCUUACAAUCCGUCAGAGCCUGCGCCACUUUGGUGGGUGGGUGAUGGCGUGCCUUUUGAAGAAUGAGCCUGCGAGUUAGCGGCAUGUCGCGAGGUUAACCCGUGUGGGGUAGCCGUAGCGAAAGCGAGUCCGAAUAGGGCGUUUGUAGUGGCAUGUUCUAGACCCGAAGCGGAGUGAUCUACCCAUGGCCAGGGUGAAGCGACGGUAAGACGUCGUGGAGGCCCGAACCCACUUAGGUUGAAAACUGAGGGGAUGAGCUGUGGGUAGGGGUGAAAGGCCAAUCAAACUCCGUGAUAGCUGGUUCUCCCCGAAAUGCAUUUAGGUGCAGCGUCGCGUGUUUCACUCUGGAGGUAGAGCUACUGGAUGGCCGAUGGGCCCCACAAGGUUACUGACGUCAGCCAAACUCCGAAUGCCAGAGUGUGAGAGCGCGGCAGUGAGACUGCGGGGGAUAAGCUUCGUAGUCGAGAGGGAAACAGCCCAGAUCGCCGGCUAAGGCCCCUAAGCGUGUACUAAGUGGAAAAGGAUGUGGGGUCGCGAAGACAACCAGGAGGUUGGCUUAGAAGCAGCCACCCUUGAAAGAGUGCGUAAUAGCUCACUGGUCAAGUGAUCCUGCGCCGACAAUGUAGCGGGGCUCAAGUACACCGCCGAAGCCGCGGCAUUCACAUAACACCCAUGCGGGUCUACGGGCCUGUGUGCAGUGGUGUGGAUGGGUAGGGGAGCGUCGUGCAGCCAUGGAAGCGCCGGAGUGAUCCAGGUGUGGAGGCUGCACGAGUGAGAAUGCAGGCAUGAGUAGCGAAAGACGAGUGAGAAACUCGUCCGCCGAAUGACCAAGGGUUCCUGGGCCAGGUUAAUCCGCCCAGGGUGAGUCGGGACCUAAGGCGAGGCGACAGGCGUAGUCGAUGGACAACGGGUUGAUAUUCCCGUACCCGUGUGAACGCGCCCCUGGUGAAUCAGUGAUGCUAAGCGCCCUGAAGCCGCCUUCGAACCUUCGGGUUCUCCGGUGUGUGGAUGCGCGUGAACCGAUCUGGUAGUAGCCAAGCGAUGGGGUGACGCAGGAAGGUAGCUGAGCCAGUCAGUGGUAAUACUGGUGUAAGCGUGUAGGGCGUGACCUAGGCAAAUCCGGGUCACAUACAGCCUGAGACGUGAUGCGUAGCCGAUUGAGGCGAAUUCAGUGAUCCUAUGCUGCCGAGAAAAGCCUCUAGCGAGCUUUCACACGGCCCGUACCCCAAACCGACACAGGUGGUCAGGUAGAGAAUACUAAGGCGAUCGAGAUAACUGUGGUUAAGGAACUCGGCAAAAUGCCCCCGUAACUUCGGGAGAAGGGGGGCCUCGUCUGGUGACGGAACUUGCUUCCUGAGCUGGGUGGGGCCGCAGAGACCAGAGAGAAGCGACUGUUUACUAAAAACACAGGUCCGUGCGAAGUCGUAAGACGAUGUAUACGGACUGACGCCUGCCCGGUGCUGGAAGGUUAAGAGGACCGGUUAGCCAGUAAUGGCGAAGCUGAGAAUUUAAGCCCCAGUAAACGGCGGUGGUAACUAUAACCAUCCUAAGGUAGCGAAAUUCCUUGUCGGGUAAGUUCCGACCUGCACGAAUGGCGUAACGACUUCUCUGCUGUCUCAACCACAGACUCGGCGAAAUUGCAUUACGAGUAAAGAUGCUCGUUACGCGCGGCAGGACGAAAAGACCCCGGGACCUUCACUAUAGCUUGGUA
rnacentral:rRNA from 1 species